UCCAUUUUUCCCCAUUUUUUUCCCUUUUUUUUCCCAUUUUUAUUCCAUUUUUUUCCCAUUUUUUCCCCAUUUUUUUCCGACUUUUAUUCCAUUUUUUUCCCAUUUUUAUUCCAUUUUUAUUCCAUUUUAUUUCCAUUUUUAUUCCAUUUUUUUCCCCAUUUUUUCCCAUUUUUAUUCCAUUUUUUUCCCUUUUUUUCCCCAUUUUUAUUCCAUUUUUUUCCCAUUUUUAUUCCAUUUUUUUCCCAUUUUUUUCCCGUUUUUUCCCCAUUUUUUUUCGACUUUCAUACCAUUUUUUUUCCCAUUUUUAUUCCAUUUUUUGCCCAUUUUUAUUCCAUUUUUUUCCCUAUUUUUUCCCAUUUUUAUUCCAUUUUUUCCCCAUUUUUUUCUGAUUUUUAUUCCAUUUUAUUUCCCAUUUUUAUUCCAUUUUUUUCCCUAUUUUUUCCCAUUUUUAUUCCAUUUUUUCCCCAUUUUUUCCAAUUUUUAUUCCAUUUUUUUCCCUUUUCUUUCCCCAUUUUUAUUCCAUUUUUUCUCAUUUUUAUUCCAUUUUAUUUCCCAUUUUUAUUCCAUUUUUUUCCCAUUUUUUCCCCAUUUUUUCCCGACUUUUAUUCCAUUUUUUUCCCAUUUUUAUUCCAUUUUUAUUCCAUUUUUUCCCCUUUUUUAUUCCAUUUUUUUCCCAUUUUUUUCCCCAUUUUUUCCCAUUUUUAUUCCAUUUUUUCCCAUUUUUUUCCCCAUUUUUUCCCGUUUUCCCUCCUUAUUUUUCAAUUUUUUCCCCCCAUUUUUUCCCAAUUUUAUUCCAUUUUUUUCCCCAUUUUUCCCCAUUUUUCCCAUUUUCCCUCCUUUUUUUCCAGUUUUUUUCCCCAUUUUUAUUCCAUUUUUUUCCCCAUUUUUUUCCCAUUUUUUUCCCAUUUUAUCCCAUUUUCCCACCUUUUUUUUCCAAUUUUUUUCCCUUUUUUAAUUCCAUUUUAUUUCCCAUUUUUAUUCCAUUUUAUUUCCCAUUUUUAUUCCAUUUUUUCCCCAUUUUUCCCCAUUUUUUCCCAUUUAUAUUCCAUUUCAUUCCCCAUUUUUAUUCCAUUUUUUUUCCCAUUUUUAUUCCAUUUUUUCCCUAUUUUUUUCCCAUUUUUAUUCCUUUUUUUCCCCCAUUUUUUCCCCAUUUUUCCCCAUUUUUUCCCUAUUUUUAUUCCAUUUUAUUCCCCAUUUUUAUUCCAUUUUUAUCCCAUUUGCAUCGAAAAUGCAAAUUUCCAUGCAAAAAUGCAAAUUUUUGGCGGCGGGAAAAAAAGCGAAUUUUGGCGGGAAAAACGCCAAUUUUGGCGGGAAAAAAGCCAAUUUUGGCGGGAAAAAAGCCAAUUAUCAACAGAACAAACCCCUCCA
rnacentral:lncRNA from 1 species